AGAAUCUUGAUGAUGAUUAAA
rnacentral:miRNA from 1 species